CUCAACCACCGCCACCCCCAACCCAGACUUUCGCUACUCUGAGUCUUCGGCCUCGAGUUGACUGUGGUCACCCUGCUUUUAGGCCAGAGUCUUCUCCGGACCGUGCCAUGCCGGGACCGUGGAAGAAAUGAAAGUAGAAGAGGAAGGAUCUUCCAUCUUGGAUCUCCUAUCCUGGCCCUUUGAGGAGACAGCAUGGCAGUAAGAGAAGUUGAAGUGAGACUCCCUUUGGUGUGAAGAAGACAAGGUUCAAGGGAAUAUGGCGGGGGAAGACAGGGUUGACAAAGAUGUACAUUAAAAUUCAGUGUUACCUUAGACAAA